GCGGCGAACUGAUCCUUCUUUCCGAAGCUCCGAGAUGCAUUGGCUCGCCUCGCCGAUCACCGGAGAGUACACAUGUGUUCAUUCUUUUUUUUUCCUAUUCUUUUCUGAUCCUUUCUUUUGCAUUUAAGAAAACAAAGAAGAAAUUUUGAUCAAAAACUCUGAUGUAAAAAGAAGAUGACAGCAUUGUUGUAAGUUCAUUAUUGGUGAUUGGAGGAUAAAGUUAAUGAAUUUGUUCAUAUGUCCAUGAAAUUGUUGAUUUGUUCUUACUUAUCUUGGCCUUGAUGUGAUAUUUCCUACGGAGGCAUAUGUGUUUCAGUUAAACUCUGCUUCUCAUUCUUCUUCAGAAGUCAGCACACUAUGUUUGAAUUCU
rnacentral:lncRNA from 1 species